rnacentral:rRNA from 1 species
ACGCUGGCGGCAGGCCUAACACAUGCAAGUCGAGCGGAUGAAGGGAGCUUGCUCCUGGAUUUAGCGGCGGACGGGUGAGUAAAGCCUAGGAAUCUGCCUGGUAGUGGGGGACAACGACUCGAAAGGGUCGCUAAUACCGCAUACGUCCUACGGGAGAAAGUGGGGGAUCUUCGGACCUCACGCUAUCAGAUGAGCCUAGGUCGGAUUAGCUAGUAGGUGAGGUAAUGGCUCACCUAGGCGACGAUCCGUAACUGGUCUGAGAGGAUGAUCAGUCACACUGGAACUGAGACACGGUCCAGACUCCUACGGGAGGCAGCAGUGGGGAAUAUUGGACAAUGGGCGAAAGCCUGAUCCAGCCAUGCCGCGUGUGUGAAGAAGGUCUUCGGAUUGUAAAGCACUUUAAGUUGGGAGGAAGGGUUGUAGUUUAAUACGCUGCAACUUUGACGUUACCAACAGAAUAAGCACCGGCUAACUCUGUGCCAGCAGCCGCGGUAAUACAGAGGGUGCAAGCGUUAAUCGGAAUUACUGGGCGUAAAGCGCGCGUAGGCGGCUUGAUAAGAUGGGUGUGAAAUCCCCGGGCUUAACCUGGGAACUGCAUCCAUAACUGUCUGGCUAGAGUACAGUAGAGGGUGGUGGAAUUUCCUGUGUAGCGGUGAAAUGCGUAGAUAUAGGAAGGAACACCAGUGGCGAAGGCGACCACCUGGACUGAUACUGACGCUGAGGUGCGAAAGCGUGGGGAGCAAACAGGAUUAGAUACCCUGGUAGUCCACCGCCGUAAACGAUGUCUACUAGCCGUUGGAAUCCUUGAAAUUUUAGUGGCGCA